rnacentral:rRNA from 1 species
AACGAACGCUGGCGGCAUGCCUAACACAUGCAAGUCGAACGAGACCUUCGGGUCUAGUGGCGCACGGGUGCGUAACGCGUGGGAAUCUGCCCUUGGGUUCGGAAUAACAGUUAGAAAUGACUGCUAAUACCGGAUGAUGACGUAAGUCCAAAGAUUAUCGCCCAAGGAUGAGCCCGCGUAGGAUUAGCUAGUUGGUAAGGUAAAGGCUUACCAAGGCGACGAUCCUUAGCUGGUCUGAGAGGAUGAUCAGCCACACUGGGACUGAGACACGGCCCAGACUCAUACGGGAGGCAGCAGUGGGGAAUAUUGGACAAUGGGCGAAAGCCUGAUCCAGCAAUGCCGCGUGAGUGAUGAAGGCCUUAGGGUUGUAAAGCUCUUUUACCAGGGAUGAUAAUGACAGUACCUUGAGAAUAAGCUCCGGCUAACUCCGUGCCAGCAGCCGCGGUAACAC